rnacentral:lncRNA from 1 species
CCAUUGCUAAUGAUGUUGUUUCUUUAGCAACCAAAGCAAGAGAGGGUAAACUACAGCCACAUGAAUUCCAGGGUGGCACUUUUACGAUCUCCAAUUUAGGAAUGUUUGGAAUUAAGAAUUUCUCUGCUAUUAUUAACCCACCUCAAGCAUGUAUUUUGGCAAUUGGUGCUUCAGAGGAUAAACUGGUCCCUGCAGAUAAUGAAAAAGGGUAAGUGCCAAAAUGGAGGGGAAGUCGUAAGCUAAUUUUUAUUACACUGUACACUUGUCCUGUGGUAUCCUCAGGGGAUUGGCUCCAGGAACCCCCUCAAAUAUCGUGAUCCACAAUGCUCAAGUCCCUGAUAUGAUAUGAUGUAAUAUUUGCAUAUAACCUACACACAUUAUUCUGUAUACUUUAUUCUUGACUUAUAAUAAUACAAUACCUAAACAGCACUUCAUUCACAUGGAUCCAGUGUAGUGCCCGGUGUGCAGCAAAUUCAAGUUGUGCUUACUGGAAAUUUGUGGAAUUGUUUACUUUCUGGAUAUUUUGAUCCAUGGUUGGUUGAAUCUAUGGAUUCGGAACCCAUGGAUAUAUGGAGGGUCAA